UACGGAGGAUGCAAGCGUUAUCCGGAAUGAUUGGGCGUAAAGCGUCCGCAGGUGGCAAUGUAAGUCUGCUGUCAAAGCGUCUGGCUCAACCAGAUAAAGGCAGUGGAAACUACAUAGCUAGAGUAAGGUAGGGGUAGAGGGAAUUCCUGGUGUAGCGGUGAAAUGCGUAGAGAUCAGGAAGAACACCGGUGGCGAAAGCACUCUGCUGGACCUUAACUGACACUGAGGGACGAAAGCUAGGGGAGCGAAUGGG
rnacentral:rRNA from 1 species